rnacentral:rRNA from 1 species
UACGUAGGGUGCAAGCGUUGUCCGGAAUUAUUGGGCGUAAAGAGCUCGUAGGCGGUUUGUCGCGUCUGCUGUGAAAACUCGGGGCUUAACCCCGGCCUGCAGUGGGUACGGGCAGACUAGAGUGCGGUAGGGGAGACUGGAAUUCCUGGUGUAGCGGUGAAAUGCGCAGAUAUCAGGAGGAACACCAGUGGCGAAGGCGACUACCUGGCCUGUUCUUGACGCUGAGGCGCGAAAGCUAGGGGAGCAAACGGG